UAAAAUGAAGUAAAAUGAGAAAGAAGGCCAAUAAACGGAGAGGAAAGCGGAAGGAAGAAAGGGCGAUAGAGAAGAAAAGCCUCUUUUUUCUUCUUUCUUCUUCUUUUUUCUUCUUUUUUCUCGUUCUCUCUCUUCUU
rnacentral:ribozyme from 1 species